UGAGCUCGAACACAUUCAUGCCCAUCAUUGGUGGAGUUUAUUCUCACAACCAAUGACUUGGCGGACCGCGAUUGAGUUCG
rnacentral:pre_miRNA from 1 species